UUUGCGGCAAGUUGUUUUGGCCUCUCUGAAUUUGUUUCCUCCUCUGUCUAAGCCUGUCCUUUAUGGUUGCAUUAAACAAUAAAACAGAAACUAUGUCCCGGGUCUGGUGUGUGGCAGGCUAUCCGUAAAUAUUAGGGUUGUUGAUGCCCUUUCUCCACUCCUGGCCCAUUCUGAAAGGAAGAGAGAGCAGCUGUCUGUCUCUAAAAGAGAACCACCGCCAUCCCAUACUAGCCCAAGACUAAGGGGUCUCGUAGGGUACUUUUACCCUUUGAAGUAGCCUCCUGAGUCUCCCGCCUCCACCGCCCCAAACUUUUAAAGGGAAGGGGCAUCUCUGGAGAGAGGCUUGGUGGUGCUGGCAUCAUUCUCUGAAAUUAAUGCCUAAUUUUUUUCUUUUGUUUUAGAGUCAACCAUUAACAAAACACCAGAUGAGUGUGUCUGAGGACUCCUCAGGGACGGAGGCCCAUCUGGAAAGGAGACUCAGGCUGUCGGCGCUGGUGCACUCCAUGCUUAAUCUCAGUCUCGGCUCCCUGGAGGCAGACUGCUUGAAUUAUGCUCCUACAAGAGAGGGACAGUUAUCUCAGCGCUGGAGGAGGAAGUGAUUUAUUCCAGCUGGUCGGCUUGAAGGAAUGUGAACUUAGGCUGAGUUGGCAGCACAGAGAUGUUCAAGUGUGACAUCACCUCCCAGUCGGGAAAGUUGAUGAAGUCUGAUCCCAGCCUGAAAGUUGUGAUUUCCCCUGGCUCUCUGGAAUUCUAGGUGUCCCUGGAUUUGCCAGAGGCAUUCUGUUGCCCUCAGCAGUGUGAGCCUUGGAGCUCCAUUUUCCCUUCUCACCUUACUGCCGCAUGAGAAUUCACAGGCCACUGGCCGGAUGGGAGCCUUCUAGCCAGCCUCCGGAUUGCAGAAAAUAUAAAAAUACAGCUUCAAGACACAUGCCCUGGACUCUGCUCUCAGACUGCCAACCAUAAGCUCCCACUGGUUCCUUGGACUUCGCACAGGUUCUCUUAUUCAGUGCUUGCAAUAACUAUAUGAACAGGAAACAACGAAGGAGCUGAGCUCUGUGACCAGUUUCGAUACCAGCUGAAACCGAAACAUGAGCAGAUACACAAGAGCAAAGAAUCAGAAGAUGCCAGAAGUGAGGUGAGGGAUGGGUCAGAGUCUUGGGAAGGGAUUUUAGCAACAGCAAUCAGGGCCGUGUGGCCAGCAGGCCCCGCUGGCACAGAGCCUCUUGCAGACCAGCUUUUUCAAAAGCCUGUGAAAACAUGUGAGAUGAGAAAAAAAUUAAUGGAUCUAAAACACAAAAAGUAUAAAAUUGAAAGUAAUACAUUUUAAGGAAGCAUCCAUAAGACGUAAAAUUAUGUCAACUUCAUUCAUUUUUCAAUUUAGUGUUUAUAAAUUGUUUACAUUUGAAAAGAAAGCUACGGUUUGAUUCUCUCACUCUAUAAAAUUUCCUGUGUGUGUGUGAUGACAGCCCACAAAUCAUAAUCAGUCAUAUAGUCAGUGAAUAACUGGUAGCUAAAUAAUUUCAAAAGCAAAAUUAAGAAAACCCUUUUGAUUUUUUCCACAGCAAAAAAUGUUAUAUUUCAUGUGAAAUGCGGGUUUAUACUAAUGUGUUUGAUAUGAUGUGGAAUGUGGACUCCAUAAUUAAAAGGCCCUGGGGCUUGUUAUGGUCUGAAACCAGCCCUGGUCAUAGGCCCUGGAAUUGGGGUGUAGGCCAAGUUGAACCAGGUCUAUGAGGAGUGAGAUGGGGGCCUCAGCUGAUGUCAGAUAAUAACUGCAUUAGGUGAACUCAGAGCCUUCCAAUUCAGAGUGCAUCUGUACACAAGUCCUUUCAACCCUGAAGGGCUAGUCAGAUGUAUAAGCUUUUAUUUGUAUUUGUAUUUUUUAUCUUUUAUAUACAAUGUGUUAUGCAUUUUUUUUAA